UACGUAGGGGGCAAGCGUUGUCCGGAAUUAUUGGGCGUAAAGAGCUCGUAGGCGGUCUGUUGCGUCGGCUGUGAAAACCCGGGGCUCAACCCCGGGCCUGCAGCCGAUACUGGCAGACUAGAGUUCGGCAGGGGAGACUGGAAUUCCUGGUGUAGCGGUGAAAUGCGCAGAUAUCAGGAGGAACACCGGUGGCGAAGGCGGGUCUCUGGGCCGAUACUGACGCUGAGGAGCGAAAGCGUGGGGAGCGAACAGG
rnacentral:rRNA from 1 species